rnacentral:rRNA from 1 species
UGGGAGGCUUCUAUGUCUUACAAACUAGUUAAGACAU